GCAACGCUUGUGCCCCUCGUCGAGCCGGGCCUUCGGUUGCCUCUUAGAUGGGGAGCUUGCGAGGCGGUGACGGCGGAGAGGGUAGGAGCGAGGACGGACGGGAGGUCGGGCUGCCGGCGUUGGACGUGGCUCUCGCGUUCGCGCGGGAAACGCCGGCGUCCCUGCUGCUCCAGCUCGCUGGCUUUGAUGGUGCAGGACAAACUGAAGGAAUCACAGUACCGGAUUACUCCUUUCCGUGCUGAAUCUUCUAAUAAUACAAGCACUCCUACAUCUACAUGAUCUGCUUGCUCUGCAGGGAGCGGGGGUAUAGUUUGAAGAACUGCCCUAUCAUGAACCAGGUUCACGACAUCGUGGAUAAUGGUUUUAGAGCCUGUACGAGGUGACCCUGGACCCAAGAGACGCGAUGGCGCCAUGAAAGUCAGCCGCACCUCAAGGGCAGGGAUGAGGUGGUACAAACUUUGCGAGCUACUUUGUCUGCAAACAGCAGGGACAUUUGAGCAAGGAUUGUCCUAAAAAUAAAUAUGCCAUUUAUCUGAAGGUAUUACACAUCCUUCUUUUGUCCCUUGUCAUGAUAUUACUACACCAAUGCAAAGGCGCUGAAAAUGGAAGCACACAUACCUUUAAUUUGCAUCUAGAGUUUAUUCGGACAAACAUGUCAUGCCUGAGUUUUGCACAAUGCAAACAGUUGGGUUGAUAAUCUUGAGAGAUAUAGCUACAAAUAUUGAUAUUGCAAUUAACUUUGAUUAAUAUAGUUAUGAUAACAAAAGAGUAAAUUGCAAUAUCAAUAUUUUAGCAGUUUCAAAUAGAACCAUAUGGUUCAACAAUUCGCACAUGAAAAAAUGAGAUUAUUUUAUAACAGAAACUGCUGAAUAAAAAAUAUCCACAAAGAAAUCGUGUGCAGUCUCAGAUACAAACCAUUCGGAUUCUUGAAGAACGCUAUCUAUCCGCACUCUUCAAUUCACCUCCAGCAUGAGAUGAAUUCGAAUUUCAACAAUGUUGUCGGGGGGAUGACCCCGGGUAGGGUCAUGAAAACACAUAUUGGCCGGGUUAGCGAGAGCAAAGCCGACGUAAGAAAGUACGCCGGCAUUGUUAAGUCGCUUCUCUAACAGGCCGCAUACCAAGAGUAUGCCGGCAUCUCUAUCUUGUCUUAUGUGAUUGCAGGACAAGCACACAUUACCUAAUCUCGGCUAGAGCCGGGAUACGCCAACGGUCUUAUCCUGGUCGCAUGGCCUAAAGUAAAGCAAUGCUCCCUUUAUGACGGAAAAACAGUCGUUGCUCACGUCGUUGUGCCGGACGACUGCACAGUGACGUGACAUAGAAGGACAAUGACGAAAGCCGGGGCGUGGCUACAGUGCGCGCCGUCUCACAGUACGAAAAGUACAAAGAUGCGUUGUCCCCUCCCGGACAACCCGGAGAGGACCAGGGGCUAGGGUUUCCCUUUGGCCCACUUGUCAGUGUAAUAUCUUAGGCUAUAAAUAGAGGCUCCACCCCUCCUGCGAGAGGGGUUCCUCCCUUAGACAUUAGAAGCUCCCCUUCUUCUUCUUCCUCGGAAUACAGCUCAUGGAGCACCAUUGUAGCCCUCUAGUAUC